rnacentral:snoRNA from 1 species
ACCUCAUGGUUAGGACAUUGCAUGAGCUUCCCAUUAAAUAUUUGCCAUACAUCCUAUGGAGGUUCUCCAUUUAAUUGACAAAAAUUAGUGAUUUCAUCACUUAAUAC